UGAGGCCUACGGGAGGCAGCAGUGAGGAAUAUUGGUCAAUGGUCGGGAGACUGAACCAGCCACGCCGCGUGAGGGAUGAAGGUACAGAGUAUCGUAAACCUCUUUUGUCAGGGAACAAAGGCGGGGACGUGUCCCCGGAUGAGUGUACCUGAAGAAAAAGCAUCGGCUAACUCCGUGCCAGCAGCCGCGGUAAUACGGAGGAUGCGAGCGUUAUCCGGUUUUAUUGGGUUUAAAGGGUGCGCAGGCGGGCUGUUAAGUCAGCGGUCAACGCCCGGGGCUCAACCCCGGCCCGCCGUUGAAACUGG
rnacentral:rRNA from 1 species